rnacentral:rRNA from 1 species
UACGUAGGGGGCAAGCGUUAUCCGGAUUUACUGGGUGUAAAGGGGGCGCAGACGGCAGCGCAAGCCAGGAGUGAAAGCCCGGGGCCCAACCCCGGGACUGCUCUUGGAACUGCGCGGCUGGAGUGCAGGAGGGGCAGGCGGAAUUCCUGGUGUAGCGGUGAAAUGCGUAGAUAUCAGGAGGAACACCGGUGGCGAAGGCGGCCUGCUGGACCGAAACUGACGUUGAGGCUCGAAAGCGUGGGGAGCAAACAGG